GACGAACGCUGGCGGCGUGCCUAACACAUGCAAGUCGAACGGGACCAGGGGCAACUCUGGUUCAGUGGCGGACGGGUGCGUAACACGUGAGGAACAUGACCUUCGGCGGGGAGUAGCCGGCCCAACGGCCGGGUAAUACCGCGUACGACCACUUUGGGACAUCCCUGGGUGGUGAAAGCAGCAAUGCGCCGAUGGAGUGCCUCGCGGCCUAUCAGCUAGUUGGUGAGGUAACGGCUCACCAAGGCGACGACGGGUAGCUGGUCUGAGAGGAUGGCCAGCCACAUUGGGACUGAGACACGGCCCAGACUCCUACGGGAGGCAGCAGUGGGGAAUAUUGCGCAAUGGACGAAAGUCU
rnacentral:rRNA from 1 species